GGGAUCAAGCUUGAAAGUGAUGAUGGUAGGUAGAUACCAAAACUAGCUACAGAAAUCGCAGAAAGACGAUGGAGGAAGCCAAGGGACUGGUAAAGCACAUCUUCCUAGCGAAGUUCAAAGAAGGAAUCCCAUCCGACCAAAUUGAGAAACUCAUUAAGGGAUAUGCCAAUCUCGUCAAUCUCAUCGAACCCAUGAAGGCUUUUCAAUGGGGUACAGAUGUGAGCAUUGAGAACCUGCACCAAGGUUUCACUCACGUCUUUGAAUCUACCUUUGAAAGUACAGAAGGAGUUGCAGAGUAUGUAUCUCAUCCCGCUCAUGUUGAAUUUGCCAAUUUGUUCUUAGCUGCUGUGGAGAAAGUUAUCGUCAUUGACUACAAGCCCACUGCUGUUCGCCUUUAAACCGUGAGGGUAAUUGCUGAGGAUUGCAUCUCGGUCUUUGUUAUAGAAUAACUACAGUAUUAUUGCUGCUGUACAGCAAUUUUACUGCAUGUUAUGUUAGUGUUUCUUUAUGUUCCAGUUAAAUAGGAUUGUUGGGAACAUGUUCAGCUAAGCAAUUUAUCUUUCAUGUCAGCUUCUUAAUGCAUUCUUGUCGUGGUUUGUAAUCCAAGAACUCUCUUGUUUCAAAUCAGUUUAUUUACACUAUGGAAUCCAUUUCAUGUGUGUUUACCAUUAUAUUUGUUUUAGAAAGUUGUAAAACACAUUAAUUGAGUAUAAUCUGUAAUCAACAAAAUUAAAUGAAAUGGUUUUUAGGUGUUCAUUAGGUGGUUCAAGGGAUUGUUAUUGGCAUAUGCUUUUGCAGUUCUGUAUGAACUUAUAAGAUGUCUAUUUUAUUUUUGGCAUGAAUGAACCAUGUUAUGUUGACAAAUUCAUGGCUAAAGACAGAUAAAAUGUGAUAAGUUGUUUCGCACCAUGUAAGAACAAAGUACAAAAUUCAAAACUCAUAGGCUGACAAAUAUGUUAAAUUGGUGAGUUCUUUUACAAUAUGGGGUGGUUUCAUAAAAAUAUUAAUUAUAAUGAAGCAAGUUUUAUUGAUUAUGUAAGCUUAUUUUUCCAUUUUGAUGAACAUUGAAGCCAAGGAGACCGAGGGAGGAGAGAAAGCAAGCUUUUGUAUGAGAGCUGAGAAUUUCCAUACCCAAGCAACAGUUGAUGCAGAAGCUAUGGAUGAGGAUGAGGAAUGAGAUCAUUUAAGAACUUUGUGUAAUUCUGUUUGUGGAACUCUUUUGGAUGUGUGAAUGUUCAAUAAUGUGUUUAUUUACAAGUUUGAUUGAUAAUGACAGUAUGGUUUUACAUUGUAUCCUCCUGUCUGACUUAAAUUGUAUGUCUAUCAUUAAAUCUUUCUUGAAAUCUUAUGAAUAGCAUGCUGCCAGAUUUUAG
rnacentral:misc_RNA from 1 species